rnacentral:rRNA from 1 species
GAUAAACGCUGGCGGCGCACAUAAGACAUGCAAGUCGAACGGACUUAACCUAUAGUUUACUAUUGGAGCGGUUAGUGGCGAACGGGUGAGUAACGCGUGAGGAACCUGCCUCAAAGAGGGGGACAACAGUUGGAAACGACUGCUAAUACCGCAUAAGCCCACGACCCGGCAUCGGGUUGAGGGAAAAGGAGCAAUCCGCUUUGAGAUGGCCUCGCGUCCGAUUAGCUGGUUGGUGAGGUAACGGCCCACCAAGGCGACGAUGCGUAGCCGACCUGAGAGGGUGACCGGCCACACUGGGACUGAGACACGGCCCAG